GGGAUGGAACAGGGAGAAGGGAGGGAUGGAGAAAGGAGGGAUGGAAUAAGAGAAGAGGGAAGGAUGGAAUAAGAGAAGAGGGAAGGCUGGAGCAGAGGGAGAAGCGAGGGAUGGAAUGGUGGAAUAGGGAGGGAUGGAGAGGAGAAGACGGAGGGAUGGAAUGGGAGGAGGAAGGCAGGGAUGGAACAGGGGGAGAAGGGAGGGAUGGAAUGAGAGAAGAAGGAUGGAGCAGUGGGAGAAGGGAGGGAUAGAACAGGAGGGGAUGGGAGGGAUGGAAUGGCGGAAUAGGGAGGGAUGGAGAAGGAGAAGACGGAGGGGUGGAAUGAGAGGAGGAAGGCAGGGAUGGAGAAGAGGGAGGGAUGGAGAAGGAGAAGACGGAGGGAUGGAAUGGUAGGAAGAAGGGAUGGAAUGGAGGGAGGAAGGCAGGGAUGGAAGAGGAGAAGGAAGAGAGGGAGGGAUGGAAUGAGAGAAGAGGGAAGGAUGGGAACGGUGGAGUAGGGAGGGAUGGAACUGAGAGCAGAGGCAGGGAUGGAGCAGGAGAAGGAAGGGAUGGAGAGGGAGAGAAGGAAGGCAGGGAAGGAACAGGGAGAGGAGGAAGGGAUGGAGUGGGAGAAAGAAGGGAUGGAGUGGGAGAAAGAAGGGAUGGAGAGAGAGAAGGAAGGGAUGGAGCAGACGAGAUGGGAGGGAUGGAACGGUGGAAAAGGAAAGGAUGGAAUAGGAGAAAAGGAGGGGAUGGAACGGUGGAAAAGGGAGGAAUGGAAUGGGAGAAGGAGGGCAGGGAUGUAACGGGAGAAAAGGCAGGGAUGGGGACAAGGAAAGGAGGGACAGUGGCAUGUGCCACCCCCUGCGGCCACCACACGCCCGGGACACCCCGGCGGGUCCCUGGAGCUGCCGGGGGCUCUGGAACGGCUCUGCCGGAGCUGCUGCUCCUCCCCCGGCAACUGGGGCGGCAGCAGGAGGUGACAUCCCCCGUGCCGGGGGAGGCGGGAGGCGAGCGGGGAUGGAUUGGAAAAUUUGAGGGGAAGUUACUCCCUGUGGAGCCAAGGAGCCGCCAGCAGGAGGGUCACCAGACAGGGAUGGCAUCCAGCCCAGCCCUCAUCCCAAUGAUCCAAGUUCCAAUAGCAAAGCCGAGGGCACACAGGAAGGAGGAAAUAAAAACGGGAAGAAAACCAACGGAGCCCCAAAUGGAUUUUAUGCAGAGAUCGACUGGGACAGAUAUAACUCACCUGAGCUGGAUGAGGAGGGAUACAGCAUCAGACCCGAGGAACCAGGAUAUAUCCUUUGGUUUUGGCUUUGCCUCUUGGGUUGGGUUGACAGGAGCUGGGGAUUACUGGCUCUCUUUGUCCCAUUAUUAUUUAUUAAUUAUUAUUUUUAUUAUUAAUUAUUAUCUAUUUCCACCUUUUGAUUGUCAUUUGGAGCUGGCACUCCUCAGAUAAAGCUGAGUUCCCCAGGGAAUAUUAGAGAUAUUUGGAUUGUCUGUGAUUCACUGCUGGGAAACGAGGAGUGGGGGAACAUCCCACGGGAGACCAAAAUGUCCAUGAUGGUCCUGGAGAAAAGAGGGAUCAGGGAGGAAUUCCUGGAUUUUGGCAAGGAAGGGGAAGCCAGGGGGGAUUUGGGGUCUGCUCCCAGGGAAUGGGGACAGGAGAGGGAAUGGCCUCAAGUGCCAGAGGAGGUUUGGGUUGGAUAUUUUAUUUAAAAUCCCUGUGGAUGUGGCACUUUGGGAUACGGGGCAGCGCUGGGGAAUAUUUGACCUGAUUAUCCCAUCGGGCUUUUCCAGCCUGAGCAAUUCCAUGAAAUGCAGCCGUGGAUCCACACCCUGGGCUGGAUUUACUCUGGGAGCAGCAGCUCCACGUUCUUGGGGUGCAGCAGUGACAUCCCCAGCUCGGGAUUUCCUCCCUUUUAUUUGGGGUCAGAGCUCCAGAGGAGGUUU
ensembl:lncRNA